GUGUUGUUGUCUAUCGUUUCAUUGUUUGUUCUUCUACAAAUCAAAAGGGGAAGGGGGGAAAAAAUUAAGGUCUCGUGAUUUUGUUUUUCGAAGUGACGAUUGCUCUUAGUUCUUUCAACAUUGCUUGAUUCUUCUUCAAGUUUAUAAAAGCAAAGGAGAAAAGGGAUCAUCAUUUGCAUCCAAGACAUGGUUUGAAACUUCUGGAAUCAUUCUAAGACAACUAUAUUU